rnacentral:rRNA from 1 species
AACGUAGGAGGCAAGCGUUAUCCGGAUUUACUGGGCGUAAAGGGCGUCUAGGUGGUUGGGAAAGUUGGCUGUGAAAGCUCCUGGCUCAACUGGGAGAGGUCAGUCAAAACUACCUGACUUGAGGGUCGGAGAGGGGUGUGGAAUUCCCGGUGUAGCGGUGGAAUGCUUAGAGAUCGGGAGGAACACCAGUGGCGAAGGCGACACCCUGGCCGACAACUGACACUGAAGCGCGAAAGCGUGGGGAGCGAACAGG